CCUACGGGUGGCAGCAGUGGGGAAUAUUGGGCAAUGGGCGCAAGCCUGACCCAGCAACGCCGCGUGAAGGAAGAAGGCUUUCGGGUGGUAAACUUCUUUUCUCAGGGACGAAGCAAGUGACGGUACCUGAGGAAUAAGCAACGGCUAACGACGGGCCAGCAGCCGCGGUAAUACGUAGGUGGCAAGCGUUAUCCGGAUUUACUGGGUGUAAAGGGCGGGUAGGCGGGAAAGCAAGUCAGAUGUGAAAACCAUGGGCUCAACCUGUGGCCUGCAUUUGAAACUGUUUUUCUUGAGUACUGGAGAGGCAGCCGGAAUUCCUAGUGUAGCGGUGAAAUGCGUAGAUAUUAGGAGGAACACCAGUGGCGAAGGCGGUCUGCUGGACAGCAACUGACGCUGAGGCGCGAAAGCGUGGGGAGCAAACAGGAUUAGAUACCCGGGUAGUC
rnacentral:rRNA from 1 species